AAAGAAAAAAAAAAAAGAAAAAAAGAAAAGAAAAAAAAAAAGAAAGUGCUGGCGGCGAUAUGUAGGAGGCGAGAUGUUUUUUUUUCAAGUAUUGGGUUGUCUUUCAUAGCCUCAUUGCUUCUACAAUCACAAGUAGGUAAGUUUUAUACAAACUUAAAUUUCUUAUUUGGCUCCAAUAAGUGAUAAAGAAGUUCAAAUUCUUGAUGGUUUAGUAUGGGUAAACCAUUUUGAAGCUUUUAAGUUAUGUGAAUCAAAUAUUUACGAAUUUUCGGGUUGGAGCUUUGUGAAAAAAAAAAAAAAAAAUCAGUAAUUAAAUUGGGUUAAAAUUGAAAUUUAAAUAAAGAAAUCAAAAGGCAGGUGAGGAUUUGAGUCAAUUAAUGAAUUGUUUUGGCACAUGUAUAUGUCUAGUGGUUGGAAGUAUUAAGAAGGGAACAUACUUAAUUGCAUAGCUUGAUGUUAUUGUGGAAGUAGUAAACUGAUGAAGAAGAGAUGAAUUGUGUUUAAUUGGAAUUCAAUUUAGCCUGAAUGUGGUAUGUUCCUGAUUUAGUAAUUUUGAUAUUACAGAGCAAAAUAAAAAGGGAUAGUAUUUAUAGUGUAAAUUCAAGAUGUUGGAAGGUAGUAUGUUAUUGUGCCAAUGUAGUGGGGAAAUGAAUGUGGAAAACAUAUUCUGUAAAUAAAUCGGUAAAUGAGACUAUGUUCUGCCAUAUGGAAAUUAAAAAGGGAAUAAAGCGAUUUAAUAAGGAAUGGAUUAAGUUGUAUAUAGAGGUUGUAUGUUUAUAAAGUAGUGAUUUAAGAAAGUACAGUAAAUUAAUGGAUUUGAUUAUGUGGGAUGACUGGUUGGUAAAUAAUCAAAGAGAAGUAAAGUUUGGAAAAUGAUAGUUUUCAUGAAAUACUCACAUGAAAGGAAGAUUUUAUGGAACAAGAUGUGUAUUAAAUGGGAGGAAUUAUGGUUAUUAGUUUUCAUUAGAUUGGAAAGUAUAAUUAUUUUAUGUUUGGGAUGAAAGUAAUUUUGAUAAAUUAAAAAUUAGUGAAGGAGUUAGUGAGUAGAAUUAUCUCCAAUUGAUUAAAGAAAAAUUGGGGAAUUCAUUCAAGUAUCGAGAAAUGGAGAUUCAAGAGAAAAUUUGAAAGUUGAGGAAUUAACUGGUGAAUUUGCUUUAGUUUAAUUGUCAUAUUUUAAUUUGAGUUGUUAUACAAUUAUUUCAGGUAGUGACGUGGAAGCUUGGAGAUGCCCGUCAAUUUAGCCAAGAUUUCUAUCCAUAAAUCAGUGAGUGGAUAAAACUUAUUUUUCAGAAAUAAGUCUUCCUUAAAUUUUAAAGUUAUUUAUUUUAUAAAGUUGACUUCAUAGCAUGAUUUUCAGAAUAAAAUCGAUUUUAUUAUCAAUUUCUUUUAAAAUUAAAUUCAGUUCAGUUAAAUUAUUUUAGUAGCAUGGUAUAUUCUUAUUACACGUUUCAAUAUAGUUAAAGCUAUUUCUAAAAACCACCAGAAAGUACCAAGGUGAUUUUAUCCCAGUUUGCACUGAUGUGAAUGUGUUUCCACAGUGUAUGACUAGUUAUGGUGAUUUUACCCGUUCUGCACUAUUGUGAAUGUGUUUCCAUAGUGUAUGACCAGAUUAUCAGAGGUCUUUGGGACCCACUCUCGUACACACAUAGGCUUUGGGCCGUGUACUAGGGUGAUUAGCCUUUGGGGCAGCUCUGCGUACGUAUGACCAGAUUAUCAGAUUAUCAUAUUUGAAUGACUUUACCUUGUACAUCGAGAUUACUCUGUACAUGAGUAAGGCUAUUCAUUGGGUACUCUUUUUGGUAUGAUUGUUCAGUAUUUAUUCAGUUCUCAGACUUCAGAUUAUGGAAUUCAGUUAAUUCAGUUUUCAGAAUAAAGCUUUCAGCUUAAAGUAUUGAGCAGCAGCAAUAUUUCAUAGAUUUUCAUGAAUAUCAGAUUCUUUAUAUUUGUUAUACCUUACAAAUACUUUUCUAGAAUUUAGAACGAAGAAUUUUAUAAUGUAAUUAUGUUUAGUUUUUAAAAGUAUUACUAGAUUCAGAAAUUCUCAAGGAUUGAAUAAAGUUAAAAUUUUUAGAAAAUAUGCAUCAAUGGAAAAAGUUUACUUAUUUGCAAAUCAUCCACUCACUGAGUUACAAUCUCAUAUUUUUAUCACCAUUUUUCUUAGCAGAUGGUAGCUACGUUGAGCGACAUUGGAGCCUGUCGAUUUGCGAGUCGAGCCACAUGGUGUAUUUAUUGUAUGUCUAGUCUUGUCAGUACAUACAUUAUAUAUUUUUGGGAUUGAUGCAUUUUUAUCAGAAAAUGUAUUUAUAUCAUGGGUUCGCUGUAUAUUUUUAUAUAUGUUUUGCAAUUGGGGUUACCUGGUUCGAAAGGAGUGUAAAUUUCUUUCCAGUACACUUAUUUUGAACAGUUUGUAUUUCGAGGGACUAGUGUGUCCUAUUUUAAAUUAUAUGUAUGGAU
rnacentral:lncRNA from 1 species